rnacentral:lncRNA from 1 species
UUUAUCUUUCACUUUAUAGCUUUUCUUCUCCAUCACCAUCAUCAUCAAUGAAACUUUAGAUCUAUCUUCUCCAUAGAUCUCUCUUUGCGUUUCAUCAUAGAUUGAAUCUUUCUUCAUGUUUCUUCUCCAUGGGUUUCUUAGAUUCACUAAUCAUGGAUCUCUCUUCAUGUUUCUUCUCCAUGGAUAUCUCCUCGUGCUUUCGUCCUUUGAAGUGCGCAAUCGUUUGGUAAGAAAAACGGUUCACAAACUUCGACAAAGAAGGUUGACGGCGGAUAAUCGGCGACGAAGACGAUGAAAAAAACAAGAAGAGGCGAAUUAGUAAGUGUGACGGCGCUAGGGUUUAAAAUUACAAUUGCUUCGUUUCAGUUGUACCUACUUAUUUGUACCAGUUGUACCUAACUAUUUGUACCAUUGUACCUAACUAUUUGUACCAGUUGUACCUAUUUAUAUGUCAGUUAUACCAAUUGUAUCAAUUGUACUAUUAUCUUUUAGUAAUACCAUUUGUACCAGUUGUCCAAUUAUCUCUCACUUAUACUAUUUGUAUCAGUUUUCCUAUUAUCUCUUAAUUGUACCAGUUGUACUAUUAUCU